UCAUAAUUACAAUUAUAAGCC
rnacentral:miRNA from 1 species